rnacentral:piRNA from 1 species
UGGAUGUGCUGGUGCCAUGACCUGUCC